rnacentral:rRNA from 1 species
ACGAACGCUGGCGGCAGGCCUCACACAUGCAAGUCGAGCGGACAUCUUCGGAUGUUAGCGGCGGACGGGUGAGUAACGCGUGGGAACGUGCCCUUUGCUUCGGAAUAGCCUCGGGAAACUGGGAGUAAUACCGGAUGUACCCUUUGGGGGAAAGAUUUAUCGGCAAAGGAUCGGCCCGCGUUGGAUUAGGUAGUUGGUGGGGUAAUGGCCUACCAAGCCGACGAUCCAUAGCUGGUUUGAGAGGAUGAUCAGCCACACUGGGACUGAGACACGGCCCAGACUCCUACGGGAGGCAGCAGUGGGGAAUCUUAGACAAUGGGGGAAACCCUGAUCUAGCCAUGCCGCGUGAGCGAUGAAGGCCUUAGGGUUGUAAAGCUCUUUCACCGGGGAAGAUAAUGACGGUACCCGGAGAAGAAGCCCCGGCUAACUCCGU